UGGGGGAUAUUGCACAAUGGGGGAAACCCUGAUGCAGCGACGCCGCGUGAGUGAAGAAGUAUUUCGGUAUGUAAAGCUCUAUCAGCAGGGAAGAAGAUGACAGUACCUGAGUAAGAAGCCCCGGCUAACUACGUGCCAGCAGCCGCGGUAAUACGUAGGGGGCAAGCGUUAUCCGGAUUUACUGGGUGUAAAGGGAGCGUAGACGGUUGUAUAAGUCUGGAGUGAAAGCCCGGGGCCCAACCCCGGGACUGCUUUGGAAACUGUGUAACUUGAGUACAGGAGGGGCAGGCGGAAUUCCUGGUGUAGCGGUGAAAUGCGUAGAUAUCAGGAGGAACACCGGCGGCGAAGGCGGCCUGCUGGACUGAAACUGACGUUGAGGCUCGAAAGCGUGGGGAGCAAA
rnacentral:rRNA from 1 species